CCUCCGGUCAAAAUGGCGAGCAGGCCUGCUGUUGCAGCAUCAAGCCGGUGGCUGGAGGGUAUUCGAAAAUGGUACUACAAUGCUGCAGGGUUCAAUAAACUGGGGUUAAUGAGAGAUGAUACAAUAUAUGAGAAUGAUGAUGUGAAAGAGGCCAUAAGAAGGCUUCCUGAGAACCUUUAUAAUGACAGGAUGUUUUGCAUUAAGAGAGCACUGGACCUGACCAUGAGGCAUCAGAUCUUGCCUAAAGAGCAGUGGACAAAAUAUGAGGAGGAUAAAUUCUACCUUGAACCAUAUCUGAAAGAAGUUAUUCGGGAAAGAAAAGAGAGAGAAGAAUGGGCAAAGAAAUAAUGAUGGAGUUGAACUCUGUGGUUGCAGCUGCCCUCAAAUAUUUUUAAGAAGUUGAAUAAACCUGAAGUGUACAAUUUAGAACUAUCUGAGCUGCAAAUAUAUUACUUUAAAUAAAUGUCUAUUGUGAUUAAAAAAAAUUAA